UACAUGGGGUGCAAACGUUGCUCGGAAUUAUUGGGCGUAAAGCGCACGUAGGCGGUUCGUUAAGUCAGAUGUGAAAGCCCUCGGCUCAACCGAGGAAGUGCAUCUGAAACUGUCGAGCUAGAGUACUAAAGAGGGUCGCGGAAUUCCCGGUGUAGAGGUGAAAUUCGUAGAUAUCGGGAGGAACACCGGUGGCGAAGGCGGCGACCUGGGUAGAUACUGACGCUGAGGUGCGAAAGCGUGGGGAGCAAACAGG
rnacentral:rRNA from 1 species